rnacentral:lncRNA from 1 species
GGCCCGCCAAAGCAAGAACAAAGGAAGAAAAGGAAGAACAAAACCCUAGGUGGAAAAAUUCAAGGAAAAAGUGUGAAAAUUCAAGGAAACAAGUGAAAAAAAGGUAAGAUUUUUCAAUUAAGCUUGAGAUCUCUCUUUCUUAAGCAUUUUUUUCUUAUUUUCCAUGGUUGAAUCACAUGAAAUCAUGAUGGGUUUCUUGCUAGCCAAACACUUAGAGAGAGAUUUUGAUGGUCAAUUUGGUUAGAUUUUAAGAUAUUCUAGUGUUUUUAGUUGAUUGGUGAUGUGUAGCAUGAAAAUCAAGCAAGAAAAAUUCAUAUUCUCCCAUUACCCAUCAUUGGCCGAAUUCUCUAUGUAGAAUAUUGAUGAUGAUUUUGAUUUUAUUUCAAGUGAUUUGGUUAGGAAUUAGUGAUUUAUGGUGUGAGAAUCAAGCUUGAAAAAUUAUAGUGUUGAUGCACCCACCAUGGCCGAAGUUUCCAAAAGAAAAUGUGAGGAUGAUUUUGCCAUAUUUCAAGUUAUUUAAUUUGUGUUUGAUGAUUUGGAGAAUUGGAAGAAAAAUGGAAUUAUUUGGAGUUGAAUUGGACAUAUUGGCCAAUUAAUUGGGUGAUAGAUCAAAUUAGGCCAAUACCGUUUUAUUUAGGUACACAAUUGAAUUUGUGUAGAACACUGUAUUUAGAUAGUUACCCGAGUAUUUCACAUCCCAUUUCAUGCAUUAGUAUAGAGCCUGAAUUGGUUUUAUAACAAUUUAGCACAAAUGUAGUAAAUGGCUUGUUGUGCAUUAUGUCUAGGCGGUGAGCAUUCAGGCAAAAGUAAAGAGAUAGUACCCGAGGAUCAAGAAUCGGAGUACUCAAAAUUCGACUCCCAAAAUAGUGAGUAACCUUAUUAUCGUCUUAAUUAUCUAAAGUGGUUUUUAUCUGAUUUUGUGAUUUUAUGGAAAAUGAGUUUAAAUGGUAAAUCUUUAUGUUUUAUAAACAAAAUGUGUUUAAUGAAAUGAUUUUAUAAAUUGUCUUGAAAUUGAAUGAUGGCUUUGAAAAUAAAGCAAUUGGAGACCAUUUGAUGUAUUGUGAAUUUAUGGUUCUAAUUGAUUGGCUGAUGGCAAUAUUGGCAUGAAUGGCUGAAUUGGUAUUUGUGUUGAAAAUGUAUAAACUAUUAUUUGCCUUGAUAGGCUGGAUAAUGAUAAAAUUGCCAUGUCAUGCUGUUAAAUUUUAUUGAAUUGGUGGGUUAUUGAUUAGUCGUUGUAGUGGACGAGUUCCGUGGACCAGCCUAUUUAGAAGGGGCACGGUAACCUUAUUAUAUUCAUACCUCAGUAUGAGAGGCGCGGAUGGAUAACUCCUGAGGUUAACACUUGAGAGUUCACUUCACGCCAAACGACCACGUGAGGGUGAACUCAGCCAACGCCAAGGAAUGACUAUGUUUUCAAAAUAUAAACAUGAUUUAUGCGUACAUAACUUUUUAUCAUCCUUGGCGGACUCAGUUGGGAUAGCCCUCGGCCAAGGUAUCCUUGAUAACUGAGUAUGAGAAUGAUUUUGGCACGAGCCAAAGUUUUAAGAAAUUCAUAAGCCAUGUUGAUUACUCGAUUUAUAUGAAUUGAUUUUAUUUGGUUGAAAUGAGUUGAAAGGUGAUGAAUUACAGUAUGUUAAACUAUUUUAUCUAUCUCCAUUUACUCAGCUUUAGAUAUUUUAGAUGGUAUUUGUUUACUCACUGGGAUUAUAUAAUCUCACCACCCUCCUUUCCACCCAUUUCAGGCUCAGGAUAGUCGGUAAAUAGUUCAUUUCGUUGAGGGCUAUAGUUGGACUUGCAUCCUCAAAAACUGUAGGUUUACCGCUUUUGAUACUUUUGAUUAUUCGUGGGCCCACAUGUCACUGUAAAUUAAAUUUUAUACUUUGGUUAUCUGUAUUACAGUAUGUAUGAAUUUAUUUAGCUUUUACGCUAUAAAAAUUAUUUAUCGGUAACUCUAUAAAUAUUGUUUUAUAAAAAAAUUGAAUAUUUU